rnacentral:miRNA from 1 species
GCUGGUCUGCGUGGUGCUCGG